ACGCGAAAGUUUCUUCGGAAAUGAGUAGAGUGGCGCACGGGUGAGUAACGCGUGGAUUAUCUACCUAUUGGUACGGGACAACAGUUGGAAACGACUGCUAAUACCGUAUAAGCUGGAAACGGGAAAGGGGGCCUCUUCUUGAAAGCUCUCGCCAGUAGAUGAGUCCGCGUUUCAUUAGCUAGACGGUGGGGUAACGGCCUACCGUGGCAACGAUGAAUAGCAGGCCUGAGAGGGUGGCCUGCCACACUGGGACUGGAACACGGCCCAGACUCCUACGGGAGGCAGCAGUGGGGAAUAUUGCGCAAUGGACGAAAGUCUGACGCAGCGACGCCGCGUGGAGGAUGAAGGUUUUCGGAUCGUAAACUCCUGUCAAGAGGGAAGAAACCUAUUAAGAUUAAUACUCUUAGUAAUUGACGGUACCUCUAGAGGAAGCACCGGCUAAUUCAGUGCCAGCAGCCGCGGUAAUACUGAAGGUGCAAGCGUUAAUCGGAAUCACUGGGCGUAAAGCGCUCGUAGGUGGCUUUGUAAGUCAGGUGUGAAAGCCCACGGCUCAACCGUGGAAUUGCACUUGAUACUGCAUCGCUAGAGUAUAGGAGAGGGAAGUGGAAUUUCUGGUGUAGGAGUGAAAUCCGUAGAGAUCAGAAGGAACACCCGUGGCGAAGGCGACUUCCUGGACUAUUACUGACACUGAGGAGCGAAAGCGUGGGGAGCAAACAGGAUUAGAUACCCUGGUAGUCCACGCCGUAAACGAUGGGUACUAGGUGUUGGGGGCUUGACCCUCGGUGCCGUA
rnacentral:rRNA from 1 species